rnacentral:lncRNA from 1 species
CUUGGUUAAAUGGCAUCAGGUUUUCUACAACGAAAUGUCCGGCUUUAUGGAUGAUUGCCGUGAAAAUCCUGGGAUUAUGGACAGCUUUAGAAGCAUUGAAGUUCAGAAUCGAUUUAGGCGAUACUCCUUCAUGGGCCAAAAUCCAGACACAAUGCCUCCUCCUCCGCCUCCGCCAAGCUACCGAGAUCCUGACAGACAUGAUGAGGAGUCCUGUGGUGGCAACAAUCCAAAUUAACCAACCACCCUUUCAUCUCACUGCAUUUCAUUUCAUAUUGCUCAUGUUUUAUUUU